UGCUGCAAGCUGCCUGCGGACGCUCCUGCCCCGUUUCUGCCGCCAUGCUGCGCUCCUCUUCAGCCUCCGUCCUUGGCCUCCUUCGGGGGGCUGCCGCAGCUUGCAAGAUCCGCGCCCAGCCGAACCUGUCCCAGGUUUGUUCACCUUUUGCCACAGGACCUAGGCAAGAAGAUGGCACCUUCUAUGAAAUUCGUACUUACGAUAUCAAGCCAGGAAAGGCAAAGGAUUUUCUGGAGUUGGUCAGCAGAGAUAUUAAUGCUCGUCUGGCUCACUCAGAGAUGAUUGGGUUCUGGACAGCAGAGCUGGGGGCAAUGAAUAAGGCCUUGCAUAUUUGGAAAUAUGAUAGUUUUGCUCACAGAACAGCAGUAAGGAAAGCUCUACUUGAUAAUAAAAGAUGGCAGGAAACAUUGUCAGAACUGCUCCCACUUGUAACAAAACAGCAUGCGGAAAUUGCUUACUUGGUCCCUUGGUGCACACUUGGGACUCCACCAAAACAGGGAGUUUAUGAGUUGGUGACUUACCAGAUGAAACCAGGUGGCCCAGCACUGUGGGGGAGGACAUUCAAAACUACGGUUGAUGCACACGCCAGUAAGAACUAUGCCAAACUCAUCGGUGUCUUCCACACUGAAUAUGGAUUACUUAACACAGUUCAUGUGCUUUGGUGGUACGAGGACCCAGACAGCCGUGCAACUGGGAGGCACAUUGCCCAUGAAGAUGCCAGGGUGGUAGCAGCUGUACGGGAGAAUGUUCAGUUCUUGGAAUCCCAGCAAAACAUGCUUCUGAUUCCUGCACCUUUUUCGCCUUUGAAGUAGUUCUCUGCCAGUCGAAGGGCAACAGAUGGUGGCAUCCGUCCUGCCUGUACUUUGGACCUUGUUAGCAAUGCAGGCUGUGCUGUACAAUAUUUUAUAUGAUACUUCACUGUAGCCAUCCUUGCUGAGAGACAAGAGCUGCCCCUGGAUGUGGCAGACACCUUUGAAAACUGAAGACUUCCUCACCACUUUCCCGGCCUCGCUUCUGCUCUUUUUCUCAAGAUAGACCUGUGAACUUCGGUAGACAAUACAUUGCUUUUUAUACAGUGGAAGCUUCUGAAGUAACCCCCCUGAAGAAUUCAAUGGGACUUGCUCUCAGGUAAGUGAGUGUAAUUUUUAUUUUCAGGGGACAAACAAAAUCAUUUUAGUUUGCCAUUGGUGAUCUAGGAUGGUUUUAAUUUUAAAGCUGCAAUCCUAAAUAUACUUUUUAUGGAGCAAAUCUCAUU